rnacentral:rRNA from 1 species
GAGGAAGGUCCCCCACAUUGGAACUGAGACACGGUCCAAACUCCUACGGGAGGCAGCAGUGAGGAAUAUUGGUCAAUGGACGGAAGUCUGAACCAGCCAAGUAGCGUGCAGGAUGACGGCCCUAUGGGUUGUAAACUGCUUUUGUAUGGGGAUAAAGUUAGGGACGUGUCCCUAUUUGCAGGUACCAUACGAAUAAGGACCGGCUAAUUCCGUGCCAGCAGCCGCGGUAAUACGGAAGGUCCAGGCGUUAUCCGGAUUUAUUGGGUUUAAAGGGAGCGUAGGCUGGAGAUUAAGUGUGUUGUGAAAUGUAGACGCUCAACGUCUGAAUUGCAGCGCAUACUGGUUUCCUUGAGUACGCACAACGUUGGCGGAAUUCGUCGUGUAGCGGUGAAAUGCUUAGAUAUGACGAAGAACUCCGAUUGCGAAGGCAGCUGACGGGAGCGCAACUGACGCUUAAGCUCGAAGGUGCGGGUAUCAAACAGGAUUAGAUACCCUGGUAGUCCGCACAGUAAACGAUGGAUGCCCGCUGUUGGUACCUGGUAUCAGCGGCUAAGCGAAAGCAUUAAGCAUCCCACCUGGGGAGUACGCCGGCAACGGUGAAACUCAAAGGAAUUGACGGC